rnacentral:rRNA from 1 species
UGGGGGAUAUUGCACAAUGGGCGAAAGCCUGAUGCAGCGACGCAGCGUGGGGGAUGAAGGCCUUCGGGUUGUAAACUUCUUUUGCUCUGAACAAGGCGCACCAUGGGGUGUGUUGAGUGUAGGGGUUGAUUAGCGCCGGCUAACUACGUGCCAGCAGCCGCGGUAAUACGUAGGGCGCGAGCGUUGUCCGGAAUUAUUGGGCGUAAAGGGCUUGUAGGUGGCUGGUUGCGUCUGUCGUGAAAGCUCAUGGCUUAACUGUGGGUUUGCGGUGGGUACGGGCUGGCUUGAGUGCAGUAGGGGAGGCUGGAAUUCCUGGUGUAGCGGUGGAAUGCGCAGAUAUCAGGAGGAAUACCGGUGGCGAAGGCGGGUCUCUGGGCUGUUACUGACACUGAGGAGCGAUAGCAUGGGGAGCGAACAGG